rnacentral:rRNA from 1 species
AUGAACGCUGGCGGCGUGCCUAAUCCAUGCAAGUCGAGCGAACAGACGAGGAGCUUGCUCCUUCGACGUUAGCGGCGGACGGGCGAGUAACACGUAGGUAACCUACCUAUAAGACUGGGAUAACUUCGGGAAACCGGAGCUAAUACCGGAUAAUAUUUCGAACCGCAUGGUUCGAUAGUGAAAGAUGGCUUUGCUAUCACUUAUAGAUGGACCUGCGCCGUAUUAGCUAGUUGGUAAGGUAACGGCUUACCAAGGCAACGAUACGUAGCCGACCUGAGAGGGUGAUCGGCCACACUGGAACUGAGACACGGUCCAGACUCCUACGGGAGGCAGCAGUAGGGAAUCUUCCGCAAUGGGCGAAAGCCUGACGGAGCAACGCCGCGUGAGUGAUGAAGGUCUUCGGAUCGUAAAACUCUGUUAUUAGGGAAGAACAAACGUGUAAGUAACUGUGCACGUCUUGACGGUACCUAAUCAGAAAGCCACGGCUAACUACGUG